rnacentral:rRNA from 1 species
CCUACGGGUGGCAGCAGUGAGGAAUAUUGGUCAAUGGGCGCUAGCCUGAACCAGCCAAGUAGCGUGAAGGAUGACUGCCCUAUGGGUUGUAAACUUCUUUUAUAUGGGAAUAAAGUGCAGUAUGUAUACUGCUUUGCAUGUACCUUAUGAAUAAGGAUCGGCUAACUCCGUGCCAGCAGCCGCGGUAAUACGGAGGAUCCGAGCGUUAUCCGGAUUUAUUGGGGUUAAAGGGAGCGUAGGCGGGGUGUUAAGUCAGUUGUGAAAGUCGGCGGCUUAACCGUAAAAUUGCAGUUGAGACUGGCAGCCUUGAGUAAAGUAGAGGUCGGCGGAAUUCGUGGUGUAGCGGUGAAAUGCGUAGAUAUCACGAAGAACUCCGAUUGCGAAGGCAGCCUGCUGGACUGCAACUGACGUUGAUGCUCGAAAGUGUGGGUAUCAAACAGGAUUAGAUACCCGUGUAGUC